rnacentral:rRNA from 1 species
GACGGACGCUGGCGGCGUGCUUAACACAUGCAAGUCGAACGGAAAGGCCCCAGCUUGCUGGGGUACUCGAGUGGCGAACGGGUGAGUAACACGUGGGUGAUCUGCCCUGCACUCUGGGAUAAGCCUUGGAAACUGGGUCUAAUACCGGAUAGGACCGUGCUUUAGUGUGUGCGGUGGAAAGUUUUUCGGUGCAGGAUGAGCCCGCGGCCUAUCAGCUUGUUGGUGGGGUAAUGGCCUACCAAGGCGGCGACGGGUAGCCGGCCUGAGAGGGUGGACGGCCACAUUGGGACUGCGACACGGCCCAGACUCCUACGGGAGGCAGCAGUGGGGAAUAUUGCACAAUGGGCGCAAGCCUGAUGCAGCGGCGCCGCGUGGGGGAUGACGGCCUUCGGGUUGUAAACCCCUUUCGGCAGGGACGAAGCUUUUGUGACGGUACCUGCAUAAGAAGCACCGGCUAACUACGUG